GAAUGCUGACAUAAGUAACGAUAAAGCGGGUGAAAAGCCCGCUCGCCGGAAGACCAAGGGUUCCUGUCCAACGUUAAUCGGGGCAGGGUGAGUCGACCCCUAAGGCGAGGCCGAAAGGCGUAGUCGAUGGGAAACAGGUUAAUAUUCCUGUACUUGGUGUUACUGCGAAGGGGGGACGGAGAAGGCUAUGUUGGCCGGGCGACGGUUGUCCCGGUUUAAGCGUGUAGGUGUGUGUUCCAGGUAAAUCCGGUUCACUUUAACACUGAGGCGUGAUGACGAGGCACUACGGUGCUGAAGCAACAAAUGCCCUGCUUCCAGGAAAAGCCUCUAAGCAUCAGGUAACAUCAAAUCGUACCCCAAACCGACACAGGUGGUCAGGUAGAGAAUACCAAGGCGCUUGAGAGAACUCGGGUGAAGGAACUAGGCAAAAUGGUGCCGUAACUUCGGGAGAAGGCACGCUGACAC
rnacentral:rRNA from 1 species